GGGUGGUUGUGUGAGAGGAGGAGGAGGAGGGAGAAAGGGAGAGAGACAGAGAGAGGGAGAGAGAGAGAAGGAGAUUAUCUGGGCCCUUCAUCAGAGGUUCAGCCCCUCCACCUCCUCCUCCUCCUCCUCCUGCUCCUGCCCAUCG